UGGGGAAUCUUGCACAAUGGAGGAAACUCUGAUGCAGCGACGCCGCGUGAGCGAAGAAGCCUUUCGGGGUGUAAAGCUCUUACGCCAGGGACGAUAAUGACGGUACCUGGAGAAGCAGCUGCGGCUAACUACGUGCCAGCAGCCGCGGUAAUACGUAGGCAGCAAGCGUUGUUCGGAAUUACCGGGCGUAAAGGGUGCGUAGGCGGCGCUCUAAGUUUGGUGUGAAAUCUCCCGGCUUAACUGGGAGGGUGCACUGAAAACUGGGGCGCUCGAGUAUGGGAGAGGAAAGCGGAAUUCCUGGUGUAGCGGUGAAAUGCGUAGAGAUCAGGAGGAACACCUGCGGUGCAGACGGCUUUCUGGACCAUCACUGACGCUGAGGCACGAAAGCGUGGGUAGCAAACA
rnacentral:rRNA from 1 species